rnacentral:rRNA from 1 species
GCCUUCAUGAAGCUGGAAUUGCUAGUAAUGGCAGGUCAGCAUACUGCCGUGAAUACGUUCCCGGGCCUUGUACACACCGCCCGUCACACCAUGAGAGUUGGAAAUACCCGAAGCCUGUGAGCUAACAUUAAUGAGGCAGCAGUCGAAGGUAGAGCCAAUGAUUGGGGUGAAGUCGUAACAAGGUAGC